rnacentral:rRNA from 1 species
UAAACUUGGUAUACUAGGGGCUGAUUCCCUAUUAAUUUUAAUUAAUUCAAAUUUAAUUAUUUAUKMAAUGUAAAUCAUUAAAAAUAAAAAAUUUGGCGGUACKURRUAUUUAGAGGAACUUGUKUGUUAAMWUGAUAGUCCACGAAUGGWGAAACWUAAUUUGAUAGUUUUAUGUAUUGUUGUUGGAAAAUUGUAUUAARAGAUAAAAAUUAAWAAAUUUAAUUAAAUUAUAAUUCAAAUCAAAAUGUAGAAUAAUUAAGAAUUUAAAUGAGUUACGAAUUAAGUAAAUAAUUGAAUUUUAUAAUUUAAUUUAUAAAUGAAAGUGGAUUUAAAAGUAAAUUUAUAAAAAUAUAUAAUGAAAA